UGGGGAAUAUUGCACAAUGGGCGCAAGCCUGAUGCAGCCAUGCCGCGUGUGUGAAGAAGGCCUUCGGGUUGUAAAGCACUUUCAGCGAGGAGGAAGGUGGUGGACUUAAUACGUUCAUCAAUUGACGUUACUCGCAGAAGAAGCACCGGCUAACUCCGUGCCAGCAGCCACGGUAAUACGGAGGGUGCAAGCGUUAAUCGGAAUUACUGGGCGUAAAGCGCACGCAGGCGGUUUGUUAAGUCAGAUGUGAAAUCCCCGGGCUCAACCUGGGAACUGCAUUUGAAACUGGCAAGCUAGAGUCUCGUAGAGGGGGGUAGAAUUCCAGGUGUAGCGGUGAAAUGCGUAGAGAUCUGGAGGAAUACCGGUGGCGAAGGCGGCCCCCCUGGACGAAGACUGACGCUCAGGUGCGAAAGCGUGGGGAGCAAACAGGAUUAGAUACCCUGGUAGUCCACGCUGUAAACGAUGUCGAUUUGGAGGUUGUGCCCUUGAGGCGUGGCUUCCGGAGCUAACGCGUUAAAUCGACCGCCUGGGGAGUACGGCCGCAAGGUUAAAACUCAAAGGAAUUGACGGGGUCUAGCUG
rnacentral:rRNA from 1 species